AAAGUGUUGGGAUUAUAGACGUGAGCCACUGCACUCAGCCACAAGAUUGUUUUUUGUUUCUUUCCUGAGGAACUGUAAGAUUAGUACUGAGGGUGACAGCUCACCCUUAGGGAGCUGAUGGUGGUAGCAAACAUUAUUGAGGCAGCAGUCUCUGUUCCUUGCUUGUAUUUUUUUGCUUAUUCCCGUUCUUCAGAUGAAGUAAAAGCCGUAGAGAAAUGAAGGGACUCUUCUAAGUCCCCACAGGUAAUAACCUCAGAGACAGUGUUAGAACCCAAGCUGUUUGUCUUUACCCUGACUUGUAACUUUGGUUUUUUGGGAGCCUGACACAAUAGGAUCAUUUGGUAUUUUAGAACUUACCCAAGACAGGAGUGGCGGUGGACAGGAAGCUCCAUGCUGGACCUCCAAACCAGCCUUGAACUGAACUGUUGAAUCAGGUCUGUGUGCAUCUUCAAACCAGGCUGUGACAUGGAGGGGAACAGAAUGGAGCCUUCCCCCAUCACUCAUUUGUAAUCCCAACCACCCUCUCUUCAUUUUGCUGGCUUUUCCCCCAUUAUGUUACCAUCUGUCUCCAAAACAUUGCCUGGGUAAAGACAAGCUGGAGCAGUUGCUCGCCCUCAAACAAAACACAGAACUACUUCUCCUCACUCCCAUUCCCCCCCUACCCCCGACUAGUGCCAAGCACCAUAUUUGAGGAAUUCCAUAUUUAUAAAGCUUGCUUGCACCUCAAUGAUGCCUGCUUGCUGUCCUUUUUAUUAUUCUUCAAAUACGUUAUGUGCUGACUGGAAACGAUUAGCUUUUGUUACUGAGGGGUUUGUGGGAUGCUUGAAACAGCUUCAUAUAUAGUUCUCAGAUGGAAAUGCGUGCUGUUUGCUCCUUUAAGAAAUGAAAUUUCUUAAUGAAAGACAGCAUAGAGGAGAAUGCAUACUGAGGUUCCCCACCCAACUCUCUGGGUUUCUCUUAGGGUAAUUGUGGUAGGGUUUUAUGUCAUGGCCCUGUGGAGCGAAUAAACAGUGGAUCUUGGGUACUUUUUUCUGAGUCUGUACCCAUCUCUUCAUGCCUCUGACUAGGGGCCCUUGUUAAUGUCAAGGGCAGUGUUCUGUCCCCAACAGAGCUGUAGUGUUGCCCCCAGUCUCUGACCCACUCACCUUCUUUCCUGGCUGAUGACACUUCCAGUGUCCUGACACAUCUGGGCAGACUGGAAUUGGAGUUCUUAAAUGCCCUCUCUGACUGGCCCCAGCUCGAUUCUGCACUGGCCUUAGGAGACUCCACAAAGUUUGGAGAGGAAAGACCCAAACAGGUCUCAGAUGUAAAACUGGAUGAGUAUUUCAACUGCUGAAACUUUAGGAGGAAAAUAUGGAUUGGCCACGUGUUUGCCAACAUUAGUAAAGUAGUUACUAGUGAUUUCUUUUUUUAAAAAAGUUAUGGAAUCGUAUUUUUCUCAUUCAGAAGUGUUACUUAGGGAAUGACUGAGAUGUGUAUGUCUCCAGAGUUCUCUGUCAGACACUGUUCUCAGCCCUUAACGUAGAGUCAUUUUUUAAUCCAGGUGCCACAGCUGGGAACAGCAGAACCAGAAGCCAAACCCCAGCAAGUCUGACUCUGGAAGCUAGACUCUUCAAAGAUGUCAUAGGCCCUUUUAGAUGCCAGAGUUUUUGAUGUUCCAUUUUAUUCACAUUCUAUUUUCAUAGCCUGUGUUUAUUUCCAUUGAAAGCCGUGUAAUUAUAGACUUUAUGUUCUGUAUCUUAGCAAGGUAACUGUCUUUAAGCCAAUAAAACUUAAUACAUUACUGUUGAAGUAUGAAUAAGUUUUAAUAACCGAGAAAUACGCACACAUACUUAGAAUUCAAAAGUAUAAUUUGGAAGUGCACUCGAAAUAGUUUCACGUGAUUUUAAUUUCUGAAAAUCAAUUCUGUAUGUAAAUUGAAUGCAGUGUUUAUUCCAGUAAAACCCUGCCGGAAGUCUUUUUUAUAAAGUGAAUAAUCAACUCCUGAAUUAACUGUUAUACAUGGUUUCAGUGUGUACACCUUUUCUGUGCUCUCAUCUACCAAUCUGAAAAUUAGAUAUCUGAACAUUUUUCUGUGUUUCAAAUGUUGGAUGUACUUCCUGUAUCAUAAUAAAACUAGUUAUCCAUCAAGGCAUAAUCAACAAUAAAUGCCAAGCCUUAGAGCAGUUGCUGACUUUGCUCAGGGUUAAAGGAAGUAUGCUGAAAAGAGAUAACUGUAGUUCAAUUGCUCAGUCCAAGCCUUCCAGAUUUUUCAUGUGGGGAAUUGCACUUCUUAUUACUGUAUUCUUCCUGUCUACAUAAUACCUGGGAACAAUUUACUCCCUGUAAUGCCACUCCCAGCUUGGUAGUAAAGUUUUUACUGAAGAGGAAGACUUUUAGGGCAUGUCAGUUUAUUUAAUUGGAAUUUUCACUGGUGACUUUCAAGGUUUGAUUUCGCAGCUUUUAGGCAGGUCAAGACUAAAGGACUGUACAGAUUUUUUGGUAAUGCGAUUGUAUUACGUGUGUGCCGUGUGUGAGUAGCUCAGCUUAGAGUGUGAAUUGCAGUAAAUGCAAAAGUGAAAGCUGCAACAUGGCUCUCAUGCUCCCAACCACUUCCUGAAGAACCCCGCCACGCGGGCCCCAGACUUAGAGACUUGAAUCCUCAGGAUGGAAAGAGUCCAAUUCCCUCCUGGUAAAGACCUCAAGUAAACCUAAAUGUAGAAAACCUGUUUGCUACUCUAGUGUGAAUUCAAACGUUUGCUUGCCUCCAUUGUAAAAAUUUCAGGGCACACAUUCUGAAAUUUAAAAUAUUAGGGAAUAGAGCCAGAGCGUUGCCAUACCUUAAAAAUAAUCUUUCAUCUCUCCUGUUUACAUGAUUCAACCCUUGAAACCAGUUGGAAUGUGCGUCCUGAUCUCUAAAUGUACAAGUUAUUUAAAAAAAAAAAUGUGAGCUUGUUAGCUUAGCUACAGCCACCAGUCUAAUAAAACUGAGUCACAUCCAAAUGGGCUGCACUUAAACUACCCUCCUAUUCUAGGGAAAACGUGGCUGGGGGAGGCAGUCUGAGUCAUCACCUGGUUUGUUUGACAUACGCUUCCUUCCAUAAAUUGGGAAUGGCGAGCGGCACAGUGUUCUGGGCUUGCCUGGGAGAAGGAGCUGUUGCAGCCUUGCAUGAUCAAAAUAGGGCCUUUAGGUUUGAAGGAUGAGGCCGAGCCCAUAUUUUGACUCCAAAUGUCGGGGGAGGGGAGAAGAAGUCGACAGAUCCAAACAAGGAAUAUUUGUAAGUACCAUUUUUGGAGGUCGGAGAAAUGGUAGGGGUGUUCACAGUUGAAUUUCUUCCUAGGACAUAAAAGGUGUUUAAGAGAAAAAUUAGGGGCAUUCAAAUAAAAAUAAAUGGGUAUCUAUUUCACUAAGUGGGCUCAUUUACUUAACAAGAGUAUUCUUGAUGUGGACAGCUUAAAAUGAUUGAGAGAGAGAUGAUUUGGUAGUUACCAUACAAAUCUGUUCUGACAAUGUUUAAUUUCACUUAAUUUAUUUGACUAUUUUAAAAGAAAUGUAUUUCACUUAGGAAUCUUUUCAUGGCAAAUUUGAAUCUUCUUUAGGAGUAUUUUGAGGGAAUGGGAAGAGAGGCUCAUGUGUCUCGCACAUUUUCCUACAGCGGUUUUGCUGUAGGAAAACCAUUUUAAAAAGUUUAGAAUGUAAAAUUGUUGCAGACUAUAGAGGAAGGGGAAGGAGGAGUAGAUUUAUAGCUGAAGUGGGUUUGUAAACUCAGCCUCUGCUUUGGGAUUAUUUUUUAAUAUGUGCCAGACAUUCUUCUGAUUUUCAUCCUGGCUUGGUUGUGGCUCUUUCUCUGUCUGUGUGAGGCUGGGGUGUUCCCUGUUUUAAAGCCGUAGUUGUCGCAGCCUGGGCGUUUUCUGUUUUGGCUUAUGGCUUUUUUUUCUCUUUUCCUGAAUGAGUGUCCUUUGUGUAACCCCAGUAAUUCAGAAAUCCUGCAGUCAUAGGGACUGCCCUAUCAUGUGACUUAGGUACUAGGUUCUGGCUGCGAUUGGUCAGCAGCUAAUUGGCGGGUCCCUAUAAGAGGUCUUGGGUCGGGCAUCCGGCCACUCUCCUGCCUGGGCUGCUGCUCAACGGGGGCUGGGGUGGGGGGCGGUGUCUGUCCAGUGAUUCAGCCACAUGUGAUAGAUGACCAAGUGACUGCUUUCUUGGGGUCCGCACACCAGUGGAAGACAGUCAAAGUGGUUGUGACAGACUUGAUCAAACCCUGGGCUUCCUGAACUGGUAACUGUCACUUUAAUAUAGGUUACUGAUUAAACUCAGAAAAAUGCAGCUUAAAAUCUUUGCCAGGAACUUGUGUGGACUUAUUCCCUGUUCCCCCCCUACCCCCCUUGUUAUGAUUUGUUUUGUCACAGGAAUGAAAUGCAGAUAACUCUUUAGAAAACUUUUGUAGGAAAAGCGCCUCGUGUGAUCUGGAACAAAGACGUUUUAUAAUCAGAUUUAUCAAGCUGCGAAGAGGGAGUUUUAGUGAACGGAAGCAGCAGCAUUCUGUCACCAGGAAAUACUCCUUUAUCCAGAAUUGGAGCUAUAAACCAGUGGAGUUUAUCAUUGAAUAGAGUGCAGAGAAAGCACCGCAAGAAAGCUGAUCACCUCAGCAAUGAACGAUUUCAAUAUGAUUUCAUCCCAGUGGUCUCACACACCAGCCUAGUAAACCAGAGAUAAGGUGUAAUGUCGUCCUUCCUUCUCCCUGCCUCGACUGUCAAAGAUUGACCACUUACAUGUUGUUUACUUUUUGGCUUAUUUCUGUUCAUAAUUAUUAUCAGAAGGCAUAGCACCCACGAGCCUAAUCAUGCUGCCUUACAACCUUAUUCCUCUUCAUUUUGUCUUCUCACUUACCUGCAGAAACCCAGGUAAUUAUUUUUGUUCUGCCCUUACCACACAGCCUUGUAACUGUUAUGAAUGACCCUCAGUCUCACUGGAAUCUGAAUCACUCAGGAAUUUAGGCAAACUGGAUGUUUUAACCACUGUUCAGCUUUCUUAUGGAAUGACAGAGAACUUGUAAAGAUAAAACACCAGUUUGCAGGAAGAAAGGAAGAGAAUGGAACUUGCUUCUGGAAAAUAUGAGUUUUACAAUGUGUUUUGUCUGUCUGCUCUCUUAAACUUAAUCCUAUAAACAUUUUUUAAGAACUAGCCAUUAAGACUGUUAAGUUCUCAAUUAUAAAGGAAUAAAAUGUUUUAAGGAGGAUUUACUUGCCCUUGCUUAUAUGAACUGCAUAUUUUUAGUAGGAAAUCAUGUAAUUUAAAUUAGUAUUGAAUGUAGAAAAUGGACAUAUAAAGAAUACAAGAAUGAAUGUCUACAUGUAAUAAUGGAUGGUAGUGAUAUAAUGCAUUUUUGUCAUCCCAUGCUGAAUUCAGUAAAAAUAAAGCUAAUGACUUGGAGCUUUUAAAAUAU